CCUACGGGAGGCAGCAGUGAGGAAUAUUGGUCAAUGGGCGGGAGCCUGAACCAGCCAAGCCGCGUGCGGGAAGAAGGUACAGCGUAUCGUAAACCUCUUUUGUCAGGGAACAAAGGCGGGGACUAGUCCCCGGAUGAGGGUACCUGAAGUAAAAGCCUCGGCUAACUCCGUGCCAGCAGCCGCGGUAAUACGGAGGAGGCGAGCUUUAUCCGGUUUUUUUGGGUUUAAAGGGUGGGCAGGCGGCCUGUUAAGUCAGCGGUAAAAGCCUGAGGCUAAACGCCGGCGAGCCGUUGAAACGGGCGGGCUUGAGUUGGAGAGAGGUAAGCGGAAUGCGCGGUGUAGCGGUGAAAUGCGUAGAUAUCGCGAAGAACCCCGAUGGCGAAGGCAGCGUACCGGCUCCACACUGACGCUGAGGCACGAAAGCGUGGGUAUCGAACAGGAUUAGAGACCCCAGUAGUC
rnacentral:rRNA from 1 species